rnacentral:rRNA from 1 species
GACGAACGCUGGCGGCGUGCUUAAUACAUGCAAGUCGAACGGACGAGUGAGAUAAGUUUACUUAACUCACAAGUUAGUGGCGGACGGGUGAGUAACACGUGGAUAAUCUACCUGCAACACCGGGAUAACGCUGUGAAAACGGUGCUAAUACCGGAUACGUUCCCUUGUGCGCAUGUAUGAGGGAAGAAAGCUCAGGCGGUUGCAGAUGAGUCCGCGGCUGAUUAGCUAGUUGGUGGGGUAAGAGCUCACCAAGGCGAUGAUAGAUAGGCGGCCUUAACGGGUGGUCGCCCACACUGGGAUUGAGAUACGGCCCAGACUCCUACGGGAGGCAGCAGUCGAGAAUAGUCUACAAUGGCCGGAAGGCUGAUAGUGCGACGCCGCGUGAACGAGGGAGCCCUUCGGGUGUAAAGUCUUUCUAUACGAGCAGUGCUAUAUAUAUGGAUAGUAUAUAUAGAGGGAUAGUAGUAUAGGAAUAAGACAACGGCUAACU